rnacentral:rRNA from 1 species
UACGGGGGGGGCAAGCGUUGUUCGGAAUUACUGGGCGUAAAGCGCACGUAGGCGGCUUUGUAAGUUAGAGGUGAAAGCCCGGAGCUCAACUCCGGAAUUGCCUUUAAGACUGCAUCGCUUGAAUCCGGGAGAGGUGAGUGGAAUUCCGAGUGUAGAGGUGAAAUUCGUAGAUAUUCGGAAGAACACCAGUGGCGAAGGCGGCUCACUGGACCGGUAUUGACGCUGAGGUGCGAAAGCGUGGGGAGCAAACAGG